GCAGCCACUCAUUCAAAGAGUGCGUAAUAGCUCACUGGUCGAGUGAUCCUGCGCCGAAGAUUUCCGGGGCUAAAACUUACUACCGAAGCUACGGCAUCAGUAAUGAUGGGUAGGGGAGCUUCCCAUACGGGUUGAAGCAUGACCGUAAGGACAUGUGGACAGUAUGGGAGUGAGAAUGUUGGCAUGAGUAGCGAGAUGUGGGUGAGAAUCCCACAGGCCGUAAACCCAAGGUUUCCAGGGGAAGGUUCGUCCGCCCUGGGUUAGUCGGGACCUAAGCUGAGGCCGAAAGGCGUAGGUGAUGGACAACAGGUUGAUAUUCCUGUACUACCGAUAACCGUUUGAGAGAAGGGAUGACACAGUAGGAUAAGCUAAGCACACUGUUGGUUAUGUGUGCCCAAGCAUUGAGGCAGUCAAAGUAGGCAAAUCCGCUUUGAUAAUGCUAGGAUGUGAUGGGGAGCGAAAUUUAGUAGCGAAGUAGCUGAUUUCACACUGUCAAGAAAAGUCUCUAUCGAGGUUAAAGGUACCCGUACCGCAAACCGACACAGGUGGGUGAGGAGAGUAUCCUAAGGCCA
rnacentral:rRNA from 1 species